AUUAUAUCAGGCAACCCAUUUAUUUCCUUUAUUUAUAUCACAGAACCAUUUUAUUUCCUUUACACAUCUCAUACAGCCGGUUCGAGAGAGAAAUAAAAGAAAAAGAUGGAGAAGCACAGAGGUGAAGAGUUUAAUGUGUUGCCUUUCAAACCCUAGAUUUCUAAAGACUCUGAUCUUCUGUUAUCUUUGCUAGCCGUUACAUAACCCAUAAUCGUCCAACAAGUAGGCAUCAGUGUAAUAUUUUUUCAGAAGCACGCAUCGCUGGUGAAGAUGGCAGAUUCUGAAUUGCAUGACAUUAUUGUGCACUACAAGUCCACUGUGAAAGUAAUUUAUAAUAUUGAUCCUGAUAGGUACCAUUUUAUUGAUUUGAUUGAUGAUGUUUUACAAGUGUCUUUAGAAAAUUUACCUGCACAAUUAGGAGUCCAAUUAUCAUGCAUUGUGAUUUGCCUGGGAGUAAUGAGAAAAUGGUAGUGCAGAGUGAUGCUGAUAUGUUACAAAUGUUUAGCUUGCAUACUAAUCCUUAUAAAAAAUUUGUUCAUGUUCAUGUUGAGUUAGAAACUGUUGAAAAUUUAAACAUGGUAUAUGAGAAGAAUGGUGCUAUGAGGGAUGGUGAAAGGGAUGGUUGUCCAAGGGGUGCUCAUGUAAGUGGUGGUGAGAGAGAUGGUGGUGAGAGGGGUGGUAGGGUAAGGGAUGGUGGUGAGAGGGGUGGUAGGGUAAGGGAUGGUGAUGAGGAAGAUGAGGAUGAUAGAGAUUAUAUAUUUGGUUUCAGUUUAGAAGAUGAGGAAUGGGAAGAUGAAAAUGAAGGGUAUUCUAGUAAUAGUGGACUAGUAGAUGAAGGUACUAUGGGGGAAGUUCAAAUAAGUAGUGAUGAUGGUUUGUCAAAUUAUGGGUCAGGGGAUGAAUGUGGAUCAGAAUCAAGUAUUGAAAUAUUGGGUGAUACUGAUAAAAAAGAUAGGGCUAAGGGUAAAGCAUUUGAUCAAUGUUUGUUUGGGAUAGAAUUUCAUAGAGUUCUAGGACAAAAGAUAGAGCUAGUAAAAGGUCACCUAUUUGACAAUAUUAAAAAAUUUAGGGAAGUGUUGAGGGAUUAUGCAAUUCAAGAGUGUUUUAAAAUGGUUAGGAAAAAAAUUGAAAAAGCUAGAAUAAGAUGUCAUUGUGCUGCUACAAGUUGCCCAUGGAUGAUACAUGCAUCACCUCUCUUUGAUAAAAUCACCUAUCAGAUUAAAACAAUAAACAAAGAGCAUACUUGUGUGAAGGAGAGCACUUUUAGGGAAGCAACAUCAACAUGGAUUGCUAUGAAGUUUGCAGAUAGGAUAAGAGAGAAUCCGGAGAUUAAAAUAGCAUCUUUGGGAGCUGCAGUGAAGACACAAUAUGGAAUUGAACCUAGUAGAAUGCAGUUGUAUAGGGCAAAGAGGAAGGCACUAGAGGAAAUUGGGGGUAAUCAUGCUGAAGCUUACACAUUACUUCCAGCUUAUGCAAAUGAAAUUGAUAAAACAAAUCCAGGAAGCUUGGCUAAAAUUAAGAGGUUUAGGGCAAAUUUGUAUAUGAACCCAGUCUUUAGCAGAAUUUUCAUCUGUUUUGAGGCACUGGCCACUGGUUUGAAGAAAGGAUGUAGACCAUUUAUUGGUCUAGAUGGCUGCCAUUUGAAAGGACCCUAUGGUGGUGUUCUACUUACAGCCACUGCACUAGAUGGCAACAAUGGCCUUUUUCCCAGUAGCCUAUGGUGUUGUGGAAAGUGAAGGAAGGGAAAGUUGGGGUUUUUUUCUAACACAUCUGCAGACUAUGAUUGGCAAAGAUUUUGAGGACAACCCAUGGACUUUCAUGUCUGACCAACAAAAGGAAUUUUUAUAUUGAAUGUUUUUAAUUUUUAUUUUAUGUCUUUGGUAAAUUUAAUUAUUGACACUGUUUUUACUAUUUUAUAUAGGGACUGGAUUCUGCAAUUUCUUAUAUCUUUCCUAAGGCCCACCAUAGAUAUUGCUGUAGACAUUUAUUUAAUAACUUUAAAAAGAAGUACCCUGGUUUGUUGUUAAGGAAGUACUUUUGGAGAGCUACAAGAGCUUACAACCAAGCUGACUUUGAUAUUGCCAUGGGGCAUUUGAGGAAUCUUACAGAAGAAGGGUAUAAUAAUUUGAUGGAAUUGCCUGUAUCAUCAUGGUCUAGGCAUGGGUUUGAUGAAAAUGUGAAAAAUGAUCAUGUCACAAACAAUUUAAGUGAAUCAUUUAACAAUUGGGUUGGUGCACAAAGAAAUAAUACAAUUCUGAACAUGUUAGAAUGGAUUAGGAUGCAAUUGAUGGGUAGGAUUCAAAAGAGGUAUGAGGUGGCAUGCAGUUAGCAAACAGUGGUGACUCCUAACAUUAGGAAGAGGUUGAACCAACUCAUAGAGGAAUCUAGACAAUGUAGUGUCAUCUUUGCUGGAGCGGAUGAAUAUGAAAUAAUGAAUGAAACUGGUAGAACUGUGGUAGACCUUGGUGCUAGGACUUAUGUAUGUAGGGCAUGGCAAAUUUCUGGCCUCCCCUACAAGCAUGCAGCUGCUGCAAUGGCUUACAAGAGAAUGAAUAUUGAGCUAUUUUAUGAUGAAAAAUUUAGUAAGCAUGCUUAUUUGGAAGCUCAUGGGGGAAUGAUACAUCCCAUAGUUGACUCAAAACUAUGGCCACCUGCUCAUGGUGAUCCACUUGAUCCUCCUCCACCUUAUAGAAGGCUUGGUAGGCCAAAGAAAAAUAAAAGAAGAGAUGCAGAUGAACCUGCAACAGGGACUAGUCAAGUGAGAAGGUCAAUGACCAUAAGAUGCAUGAUUUGCAAGGCUUUUGGACAUAACAAAAGAACAUGUCCAAAAAAUGCAAAUAAGGUCCAGAAGGGAAGUUCUUCAAAAGCUACAAAUGCAAGUGGUCCAGAGGAAAGUUCAAGCACAUCUCAGAGAGUUAGGAAGGGGGGUUUAUCACAGCCCUUGGGUGCAAGCAGUUCUCAACCCCAACUUGGUAGAGGCACAACUCAAAUGGCGGUUAGAGGUGGGAGGGGUGGUAUAAGCAAUUCUCAACCCCCAGGUGCUACAUGGAGUUUUGGUGCAAGCAGUUCUCAGCCCCAACUUGGUAGAGGGACAACUCAAAUGGUAAUUUUUUUUAUUUUUAUUUUUUCAUUUACAGAUUUACUUUAUUGGCCAUAUAGCUAUUUGAAAUUGUUUUGUUUGUUUGACUUAGGCAGUUAGAGGUGGGAGGGGUGCGUCUAUGUCUCAACCCCAACUUGGUAGUGGUACCUCUUCUGACAUGGCAGUGUGGUAACUGUCAUACUGUUUCAAUCCUUCUGGCCUCCCCUGAAGAAUGUUUUUUGUGUUCUUAUUUGGAGCAUAUGUGGAUAACUACCUAUCACUUUUGAUGUUACUAUUUUGUUUUGAUGGCAUGUGGACAAAUGUUUGCUCAUAGUUAGAGUUGCAUUUGGAGCAUAUGUGGAUAACCUGUCACUUUUGGGAAACUUUGCUUGCUACUUGUUGACAAUUUUUGGGAUAUUGUUGGAUAGGUUCUUGGACAAGAUAUAAUUACAUACUUAUACUCAUGGGUCUUGGGUAUACUUUUGGUUGUUUUGUGUAUGUAAUGAAGUAGAGACAGUUGGAUUGAACUAUAUAUAAGAUUUUGGUUAUUUUUUGCA